UACAGAGGUGGCAAGCGUUGUUCGGAAUUACUGGGCGUAAAGGGCGCGUAGGCGGUCUUGCAAGUCCUGUGUGAAAUCCCUCGGCCCAACUGAGGAACUGCACAGGAAACUGCUUGGCUUGAGUUCGGGAGAGGGAAGCGGAAUUCCGGGUGUAGCGGUGAAAUGCGUAGAUAUCCGGAGGAACACCGGUGGCGAAGGCGGCUUCCUGGACCGACACUGACGCUGAGGCGCGAAAGCUAGGGGAGCAAACGGG
rnacentral:rRNA from 1 species